AUUGAACGCUGGCGGCAUGCUUUACACAUGCAAGUCGAACGGUAACAGGCCGCAAGGUGCUGACGAGUGGCGAACGGGUGAGUAAUGCAUCGGAACGUGCCCAGUCGUGGGGGAUAACGCAGCGAAAGCUGCGCUAAUACCGCAUACGAUCUAUGGAUGAAAGCGGGGGACCGUAAGGCCUCGCGCGAUUGGAGCGGCCGAUGUCAGAUUAGGUAGUUGGUGGGGUAAAGGCUCACCAAGCCAACGAUCUGUAGCUGGUCUGAGAGGACGACCAGCAACACUGGGACUGAGACACGGCCCAGACUCCUACGGGAGGCAGCAGUGGGGAAUUUUGGACAAUGGGCGCAAGCCUGAUCCAGCAAUGCCGCGUGCAGGAAGAAGGCCUUCGGGUUGUAAACUGCUUUUGUACGGAACGAAACGGUCCUGGUUAAUACCUGGGGCUAAUGACGGUACCGUAAGAAUAAGCACCGGCUAACUACGUGCCAGCAGCCGCCGAAUAC
rnacentral:rRNA from 1 species